CGGACGGGUGAGUAACACGUGGAUAACCUACCUAUACGACUGGGAUAACUUCGGGAAACCGGAGCUAAUACCGGAUAAUAUUUUGAACCGCAUGGUUCAAAAGUGAAAGACGGUCUUGCUGUCACUUAUAGAUGGAUCCGCGCUGCAUUAGCUAGUUGGUAAGGUAACGGCUUACCAAGGCAACGAUGCAUAGCCGACCUGAGAGGGUGAUCGGCCACACUGGAACUGAGACACGGUCCAG
rnacentral:rRNA from 1 species